GAUGAACGCUGGCGGCGUGCCUAAUACAUGCAAGUCGAGCGAACGGACGAGAAGCUUGCUUUUCUGAUGUUAGCGGCGGACGGGUGAGUAACACGUGGAUAACCUACCUAUAAGACUGGGAUGACUUCGGGAAACCGGAGCUAAUACCGGAUAAUAUUUUGAACCGCAUGGUUCAAAAGUGAAAGACGGUCUUGCUGUCACUUAUAGAUGGAUCCGCGCUGCAUUAGCUAGUUGGUAAGGUAACGGCUUACCAAGGCAACGAUGCAUAGCCGACCUGAGAGGGUGAUCGGCCACACUGGAACUGAGACACGGUCCAGACUCCUACGGGAGGCAGCAGUAGGGAAUCUUCCGCAAUGGGCGAAAGCCUGACGGAGCAAAGCCGCGUGAGUGAUGAAGGUCUUCGGAUCGUAAAACUCUGUUAUUAGGGAAGAACAUAUGUGUAAGUAACUGUGCACAUCUUGACGGUACCUAAUCAGAAAGCCACGGCUAACUACGUG
rnacentral:rRNA from 1 species